GAUGAACGCUGGCGGCGUGCCUAAUACAUGCAAGUCGAGCGAACAGACGAGGAGCUUGCUCCUCUGACGUUAGCGGCGGACGGGUGAGUAACACGUGGAUAACCUACCUAUAAGACUGGGAUAACUUCGGGAAACCGGAGCUAAUACCGGAUAAUAUAUUGAACCGCAUGGUUCAAUAGUGAAAGACGGUUUUGCUGUCACUUAUAGAUGGAUCCGCGCCGCAUUAGCUAGUUGGUAAGGUAACGGCUUACCAAGGCAACGAUGCGUAGCCGACCUGAGAGGGUGAUCGGCCACACUGGAACUGAGACACGGUCCAGACUCCUACGGGAGGCAGCAGUAGGGAAUCUUCCGCAAUGGGCGAAAGCCUGACGGAGCAACGCCGCGUGAGUGAUGAAGGUUUUCGGAUCGUAAAACUCUGUUAUUAGGGAAGAACAAAUGUGUAAGUAACUAUGCACGUCUUGACGGUACCUAAUCAGAAAGCGACGGCUAACUACGUG
rnacentral:rRNA from 1 species